rnacentral:rRNA from 1 species
GACGAACGCUGGCGGCGUGCUUAACACAUGCAAGUCGAACGGAAAGGCCCUGCUUUUGUGGGGUGCUCGAGUGGCGAACGGGUGAGUAACACGUGAGUAACCUGCCCUUGACUUUGGGAUAACUUCAGGAAACUGGGGCUAAUACCGGAUAGGAGCUCCUGCUGCAUGGUGGGGGUUGGAAAGUUUCGGCGGUUGGGGAUGGACUCGCGGCUUAUCAGCUUGUUGGUGGGGUAGUGGCUUACCAAGGCUUUGACGGGUAGCCGGCCUGAGAGGGUGACCGGCCACAUUGGGACUGAGGGACGGCCCAGACUCCUACGGGGGGCAGCAGUGGGGAAUAUUGCACAAUGGGCGGAAGCCUGAUGCAGCAACGCCGCGUGCGGGAUGACGGCCUUCGGGUUGUAAACCGCUUUCGCCUGUGACGAAGCGUGAGUGACGGUAAUGGGUAAAGAAGCACCGGCUAACUACGUG